GCAGGAGCAGUCAACUCACCGCAGUGAAGACACCAUAUGUCUGGGAGCCCCAGUCUUGGACCAUGAUCCCACUGCUAGGCACAGUACAAACACAGAACACACAGAUGGUUCUUGCCCCCAUCUAAGCUGUCCUCCCUUGUGUUCACCUGACCAUGGACUCUUACAAAACACCUGAUGGGAAAGGACAGCUUGCCUUGUUGACUGAGGCAAUUUUUCCGCUGCUGGACAAAGCCUACAUAAGGAGUUCCUGCCACCUGAAAUGCCCUCUCUCUCCAUCUCAGACUUUAUCUCAAAUUAAAGAAAUCAGCAGAUGUGGAUAAUGGAUGAAGAAUGCAUAUUCGUGGGAUGAAAAAUGCUUUAGAGACCUGCUUCUGCCACCAACAGUAAAGGUUGUUAAAUAUAUGAUCUCAGACCAACCUAGUAUUGUGUAAGGUGUCUUUCUUCCAUGUCACAUUUCAGUACUAACUUUACUAAUUAAGAAUCCAUGAACUUGUGAGCUAAUAAGUCUCACCUUACCUUUAAAU